CAAUAGCGUAUAUUAAAGUUGUUGCAGUUAAAAAGCUCGUAGUUGGAUUUCUGGCCUGAGCGUCCUGUCCGGCGCUGUGCGUUGUGUACUUGGUGCGACUCGGGCCAUCCUUGCAGGGAAUGUGUCUGGCCUUAGUUGGUCGGGUUCGGGAACUGCAUCGUUUACUGUGAAAAAUUAGAGUGUUUAAAGCAGGCAUUUGCUGUGAAUACAUUAGCAUGGAAUAAUAAGAUAGGACUUUGGUUCUAUUUUGUUGGUUGGAGGCCAAGGUAAUGAUUAAUAGGGAUAGUUGGGGGUGCUAGUAUUCGGCGGCCAGAGGUGAAAUUCUUUGAUCCGCUGAAGACUAACUUAUGCGAAAGCAUUCACCAAGGAUGUCUUCUUUAAUCAAGAACGAAAGUUGGGGGAUCGAAGACGAUUAGAUACCGU
rnacentral:rRNA from 1 species